rnacentral:lncRNA from 1 species
CAUCAUGUGUGAGGGGAAAAUGUUAAUAGAUACCUUAUUAGAUAAUACCUUAUUCAGGUAUUCUGAAGAUUAAGUAAGAGAAAAUGCCUAAGUACCCAGCAUAUAGUAGGUGUUUAACAAACGGUGAUUACGAUUAGGUUUAACCCACAAAAAUAAAUGACAUGUAUGACAUGCUUCUCAGAUUAUUAAAAUUCAUGUGAAAUUUCCAAGCUAGUCUAAAUAUCAAGGCCAUAUUUGAUGUGGUGGCAAAUUGGAUGAUUUAUUAAUGUAAUGAUAAUAAUUUCUUUUGUCUCUUGUUUUGUUUUGUUUUUUGGAAACAGAGUUGCUCUGUCACCCAGGCUGGAGUGCACUGGUGAAGAGGCUUACUGCAACAUCUGCCUCCUGGGUUUAAGCGAUUCUGCUGCCUCAGCUUCCCCAGUAGCUGGGGCUACAGGUGCACUCCAGCAUGCUUGGGUCCCCUCUGGAAACUUACCUCUAUGACCUCCAAGGGGCCACUUGACCUUGGAUCUGUGCCACCUGGUACUGAAGCUGACGCAGUCAUAGUUACUUUCCAAAGUGCUCUGGAACGUUUACAACAAGGAGCCCCCUUUUUUUGCCACUAGGACAGCAUUAGACCCCAUAUGUGGCCUAGUUGUUUUUAAUGCUGCUAUUACUGCUAUUGUUUAUUGCGCACUUGCCGUGUGUCAGAAAUUCUGUGGAAUGCUUCAAUCCUUACAGCAACCCUAUAAGGCAAGCACUAUUAUUGUCAUCAUCUCUAGUUUAGAGAUCAGGAAACUGAGGCUCACACAGCUAAGUUCACACAGCCGGUAGAUGCAGGUUCAAGCAGAGAACUGGUUCAUUCAUUUUUACGAGCCUUACAUUUUUCAUUUCUUCUUUGCCUCUGUAGCUAUAACACCUCCAAACACAAAUGUGAUCCUCCUGAAUUCUUUUACUGCUCACAUAUUUUAGUUAUCACAAAUAGUUUAAACCUUAUUUUUAAUGAUGUAUAUACAAAUGAUGUUUCUCUUCAAAAUUAUUUCACACCAUAAGAAGUCACUCUUCCUUCCCUUUACUUAUGAAUUCAUUCUUCUUUAGAAAUGAGCAUUUAUAAUAAUGACACGCAAGGCUAAAUUUUUUCUGUUUAAUAUAAACCAUAAUGUGAAAUUGAGAAUGGUUGAAAAGCAUCGUUAUGAAACAUUGUGGACUCCAGACUCAUCCGAUACAAUUUCCAAGGGGAAUUUAUUCUAAGUGCUUUAAAACUUAUAGAGAGUUAAAUUCUGAACUACUUGAGCCUGUAUACCCUCUUAGCAACUCCCCCAGCAGGUAACCAAAAAUGAGAAUGGAAAGAAAUUGCCUCAACAUUGAAUUUUUAGACGUUUAAAAGGUCUGGAGUCUAAAUGCUUUAGAAGACUGUUAUUUAAAUGUGGGAAAUGAUGGAAAAGUAUAAUGUAAAUAUAAGAUAUAUAUUGUUUGCUAAAAUAAAUCAUCAUUCUUUUCUUUGUCAAAUUCAUGACAAUUUAAAAAUGCUGUUAUUCUAUUUUUUUUUUUUUUUUCUACUUUGGAGCAGGUAGCUGAAUAUGCAGAGUUCUGGCACUAGGUGUCAGCAAAAGAUUAAAUUAAAAAUGCCUACCUAGUUUUUUUCCUUUUCUUUCUUCUUUCUGCACACACACACACACACACACACACACACACACACAUAUUUGAGACAGGAUCUCAGUCUGUCACCCAGGCUAGAGUGUAGUGCCAUGAUCAUAGCUCACUGCAGCCUCGAACUCCGUGGGAUCAGGUGAUCCUCUCAACUCAGCCUCCAGAGUAGCUGGGACUACAGCCAUGUGCCACCACACCCAGCUAACUUUUUUGCGUUUUUUUUUUUUUUUUUUUUUUUUUUUAGAAAUGGGGUCUUGAUAUGUUGCUCGGGCUAGUCUCAAACUCCUGGGCUCAAGUGAUCCUCCUACCUUGGCCUCCCAAAGUGCUGGGAUUACAGGCAUGAACCACCAUGCCUGGCCUACUCUUCUAUAUAUUUAAAACUUUAUCAAAAUAAAAAUAAAAUACAUAGUCUGGAUUUUAAAAAGAAGAGAUAACACACUUCCUUGUUGCCAUGACAAUGCCAGUGUGAGAGAGAGGCUGGGUUGCUGCUGUUCAAGUAGGCACCUUAUGGAGAUGUUCAUGGCUCAAGGAAUUCCAUGUAUGACUCAGUUUGACCUUUAACAUUGAAUGGUUGGGGAC